rnacentral:rRNA from 1 species
GGAGUUAGCCGGUGCUUCUUCUGUGAGUGAUGUCCUUCCUGCCGGCUAUUAACCCGCAGGCCUUCUUCCUCACUGAAAGUGCUUUACAACCCGAAGGCCUUCUUCACACACGCGGCAUGGCUGGAUCAGGGUUGCCCCCAUUGUCCAAUAUUCCCCACUGCUGCCUCCCGUAGGAGUCUGGGCCGUGUCUCAGUCCCAGUGUGGCUGAUCAUCCUCUCAGACCAGCUACGGAUCGUCGCCUUGGUGAGCCGUUACCUCACCAACCAGCUAAUCCGACAUAGGCUCAUCCGAUAGCGCGAGGCCCGAAGGUCCCCCGCUUUCCCCCGUAGGGCGUAUGCGGUAUUAGCCUGGGUUUCCCCAGGUUAUCCCCCACUACCGGGGCAGAUUCCUAUGCAUUACUCACCCGUCCGCCGCUCGCCACCAGGGAGCAAGCUCCCCGUGCUGCCGCUCGACUUGCNUNUGUAGCNGCGCANCGUCAUNGAGCAGANACGACCACGA